rnacentral:rRNA from 1 species
ACAUCGGUGCAAUGUCCAACAUCUACAUCAGUGGACAAUUCAUCAUCACCCCAUGAUGGUUUCGUAUGUUCAGAUUCCCCAAUAGAAAGCUUUGUCGCCGAUGAUGAUGAUUCUCACAUGUCUGAAGAACAAGAUGAUGAGUACUUCGCAUUUGCUAGGAGAGGUGAUGAUGAAGACUUGGUAGAUGCCUUUACAACAGACACCGUUGUCCCCGACCUAUAUGAUCAUGUCUACCACAAUAUACCAGUAAGUACUCACAUGUUGACACCAAAACCUGAUUGCAAUCAUUGUGGUGCAAAGAGGUUCCAGUAUGAAACAAGUGGAUUUUGUUGUCGGUCCGGAAAGAUUAACCUAGCACACUCAGAACCUCCCUUGGAACUUCAAAUGUUAUACACAAGUUCAGAUCCCAAUGCUGUGCAUUUCAGGAAGAACAUUUGGUACUUUAAUGGACACUUCUCAUUCACCACCCUUGGAGUCAGUCUGGACAAUAGAUACACAAACAUGAGUUCAGGAGUGUAUACGUUCCGAGCUCACGGUCAGAUUUACCACAACGUCUUCUCAUUUGGUCCAACUCAAGAUGGAUCUAAGCAUUUGGAGCUCUACUUCUAUGAUGAUGAUCCCAGUUUACAACAUAGGUUUCGGCGCUCCCCAAACCUAGACCGAGAUGUCAUUCGUAGGCUUGUCGACAUCCUCAAGGAAAAUCCUUAUUCUGAGACAUUCAGGAAUCUAGGUGGAGUCGAUGACCUUGAGGAAUACCGUAUUGAACUGAAUACCGAUAUGAGGUUGGACCAACGGAGAUAUAACUUGCCUAUAUCAUCGGAGGUUGCGGCUAUUUGGGUUGAG